rnacentral:rRNA from 1 species
AUUGAACGCUGGCGGCAUGCUUUACACAUGCAAGUCGAACGGUAGAGGGGGCAACCCCUUGAGAGUGGCGAACGGGUGAGUAAUAUAUCGGAACGUGCCCAGUCGUGGGGAUAACGUAGCGAAAGCUACGCUAAUACCGCAUACGAUCUAUGGAUGAAAGCGGGGGAUCGCAAGACCUCGCGCGAUUGGAGCGGCCGAUAUCAGAUUAGGUAGUUGGUGAGGUAAAGGCUCACCAAGCCGACGAUCUGUAGCUGGUCUGAGAGGACGACCAGCCACACUGGGACUGAGACACGGCCCAGACUCCUACGGGAGGCAGCAGUGGGGAAUUUUGGACAAUGGGCGCAAGCCUGAUCCAGCAAUGCCGCGUGCAGGAUGAAGGCCUUCGGUU